rnacentral:rRNA from 1 species
AAUGGGCGCAAGCCUGAUCCAGCCAUGCCGCGUGAGUGAUGAAGGCCCUAGGGUCGUAAAGCUCUUUCGCCAGGGAUGAUAAUGACAGUACCUGGUAAAGAAACCCCGGCUAACUCCGUGCCAGCAGCCGCGGUAAUACGGAGGGGGUUAGCGUUGUUCGGAAUUACUGGGCGUAAAGCGCGCGUAGGCGGAUUAGUCAGUUAGAGGUGAAAUCCCGGGGCUCAACCCCGGAACUGCCUUUAAUACUGCUAGUCUUGAGUUCGAGAGAGGUGAGUGGAAUUCCGAGUGUAGAGGUGAAAUUCGUAGAUAUUCGGAGGAACACCAGUGGCGAAGGCGGCUCACUGGCUCGAUACUGACGCUGAGGUGCGAAAGUGUGGGGAGCAAACAGGAUU